CUUGACCCAUUACCCAAGUUUGGGGCGGUGCCUGCGGCUACAGGACAUACUAACCGGGCAGCUACACAGUGAUUAAAGCAAUAAAUAUAUUUUACAUAUCGCGGCACCAAUAUUCGUGGGUGCGAUUAUCGUCUUGCCUUCUCCACGAGUGAGUAGAUUGAUUCACAAUGGCUAGUAGAAAUCGUGUUCCUCGGGAGGCCCUUGACAAUCGUCGGGGAUAUCACCCAUAUCACCCACAAGGACAUGUUGGUCGUGGUCCUUUGCCACCCCACCCUGCUUUAUUGGAGGAAGAACUUGAAAUCCAGCAUCUUGAAAUCCGGAGGCUUUUCGGUGAAAAUAGGAGGAUGGUUGAUGAUCGAAUAGCAAUGCAGCAAGAGUUGGGGGCUGCUAAAGAAGAACUUAGUCGUAUGAAUUUCGUCAUCAGUGAGAUUCGUGCAGAUCAAGAACGUCAUUCAAGGGAGCUUAUUGAGAGAGGCCAGAAGCUAGAAGCUGAACUUCAUGCUACUGAGCCUUUAAAAAAUGAGGCAGCCCAACUCCGUUCUGAAGUUAAAAAGCUGAAUUCUGUUAAUCAGAAUCUAUCUGUGCAAGUGAAAACUCUUACAAAAGACCUUGAGAAAUUGCAAAAAGAUAACCAGCAGAUUCCACUUUUGAGGGCCGAGGUUGAUGGACUGCACCAGGAACUUAUGCGAGCCAGAACUGCUUUUGAUUAUGAAAAGAAGGCAAACAUCGAACUAAUGGAGCAGAGACAAGCAAUGGAGAAGAAUUUGGUGUCCAUGGCACGUGAAGUGGAAAAGCUUCGCGCUGAACAUCCAAAUGCUGAUGUUAGACCAUGGGCUGCUGGUUGGUGUCGGUGGUGAUCAGAAAUGCUUGCCGGAAGUGGAACUUGCAGGUGUAUUGCUUUUUAGAAGUUGUGCAGUAAGGAUUGGUGUUUCUAUCUAAAGUGGGUAACUGUUCUACUUGGGAGUAUGCAAGACAAUGUUUCUAGGAAGAUGCAUUCUGGUAUAGUAUGCUAAAUAGGUAAUAAAACAGUUGCUUUAUUGUUUAAUUUGCGGGCUUUAAGCAUACAACCAACCCUUAUGAUGCCAUACUACAGUCAGCAUGUCGAGUGCAAGAUUGGCAGCUACACUGUUACAACAGAUGAAUUGACCUGUAAAAAUCAACUAUAGUGAAUUAUAAGCGUUUCUCUUGUUAUCAUCCACCUUCUCUAUGCCCUCCGAUUAUGAUAGAACAGUAGUCAAGUUGUGCUGCUAUCUUCGUGCCGCGGCAAAUUGUUUCUUGUGGCUAUUUUUUUUGUACACAUAUUGCUCCUUAUGCAACAGUAUCAGGUUGGAGUGUUGAAUGGAAGGAUGAAGGGCAUGCACUUGCCAUUUGAAGGCUGACGACUACCUGACUUCUAACGAUCAUCAUAGGCAAGAAUUUUGUCUCUGCUAUUUGGAUUUAAUGGCUCCUAAUAUAUUGUUUACUGGUGCAUAAAUAUGAUAACAAUUUCUCUAUUUAAAAAAACAAAUAAAAUAGAUUAAUUCCUGACCUGUUUCUGUUUUUUGUCAUGCUUCUAUACUUUGUUUCGCCUAAUGCGAUGAUGUGAUCUGGAUUAAUGUUGAAUUAACUAAUUCCUAAAUAGUUGGUCAAAUUGUAUGAUGAAUAUCAGUUUUGAGCUUAAAUAUGGCAAGUGAUACUUAUCCAGCAAUGAGUUCUAUAGUAGGCUCCCCAAAUUUUCGUGUACAAAUAAAGAUGAAGUAACUGAGAACAGUAUGAACUAAUACUUUUAAUGUAUCAAUGUAUAUGGAAGAAUAGUAAAACACUAUGGAUAUACUAUUUACUAUUAGUUGGUCAUUUGGACCAGAAUAAUAUAACUGAAGGCUUGAAGCAUAUAGAUAUAAAUAGAUUGACUGGAGAUAGAAAUAGACAAACAACAGGUCAUGGAAAAACAGUGAAUUCUGGUAUCCUUUCAACUUGAGUUUAAGUUGUCGCACUUUGAAUGCUUCUUACAAUGAAAUUUCACACUAGGACGAGAGCAAAGCCUAAGGUGAGCUACUCAUGUUUUUUCACUACAAGAAAUUUUUGAACCACCAACAUGUAUAGCAAACUACAAAUCACAGGAAAACUGGUAUUUUAUCUUUUAGAUCCUAUUUUAUGCAGAGUGAAAUUCUGAUAUCCUUUGAACUUGAGUUCUGGUUGUCACACUUUGUAUGCUUUUUACAUUGACAGUCUGACACUACAAUAGGAGUCGAGCCAAAGUGAGCUACUUUCCUUCUGAUGUCUUCAUGUACAAGAUUUUGGAAUGAACCACCAACUCGUUUAAUUGAACAAGCUACAAAUUACAAGAAAACUGGUAGUUUAUAUUCUAGAUUCUAUUUUUUUGUAUAGUGGCAAGGUAUAUAUAAAGCUUCCGAUAUGAUAUUUGUUGCAUUCAAAAAUUAAAGCUGAUGUCCCAUUAUUGUCCCUCCUCCCGUCAGCAAGGGUCCCUCUUAUAUACGCUGAGUUUCUUAUGGCCUUUAAUCUGAUGCUGUGGUGUAGUUUGCAGGGUAAAGUUUAAGUUACUACUAUUAGGAACUAUUGGAAUUAAUGAACCAUGCGGUGGGGUUCAAAAAUGUCUUGUUUAAAUCUGAUGAGAAUUGCGUUGCGUUUGAGUGGGAACUGUAGUAUCAUUGUAAACAGUAGACACAUGUUUAUUGUUUUGUAUGAUUUUAGGCAUUUGUAGAGAAUAUACAUGACGUCUUAAAUAGGGAUAUAGAAUAGGUUUGCAAUUUAUAUGAUUAUUAGUUAUGAACAAAUCAGCUGAAGUUCCGAAUUGUGAAGCGGAUAUGCGUUGUUUGCAGUCAGUUAUGUAUAGAAGGAAAAUCUACUCGUCACCCCUGUUGCUGAUAGGUCACAGUUAUGGAGGUAGAAUGCAAGUAUGCAACUACUGGCUUGGUGAAAUUUUCAAUGUGCCAAUGUGAACGUGUAGCAUCAUGCCACUCAUAAUAAAGCACUAGUUAACUUGGAGUUAGUGAGCCACGGAAGUUAAUUGAAGCAUCCAUUUGUUUCAACUUACGCAUGGAAAAGUCAUCCAAGCAUCUUUUAAGUUUUUUAAUGGAGUCUGUGAACUCGAUUGGUUUUCUCACAAUUUAUUCAAGUUCUGAACUGUGACCUUGAAUGAUUUCCUCACGACCUAUUCAAGUUUUGAGAGAAAAAUGUAAUAUGGAGAAUUGUACCUUAGAAAUCCAGAAGUGACAAUAGAUUUAGCAGCUCCUUGCGAAGUAUAGUAGCAAGACCCCAGAACUUUACUUCAGCAGAAGCCAGAAGGAAUAAACACAUUGACCUGAUUGUUUGCUGUGUAGGGUCUAAAGUAGCGGGUGCUUGCAUGGUUGCAAGAAUAGUUAACACUUAAUGAUGUUCCUUGUGUAGGGUCUAAAGAUGUAGCGAGUGCUUGCGUAGGUGCGGGAAUAGUUGAAAAAUGAUUAGGCUCUGUGAUCUUUGUCGAUUUGAUAUUAGUUAGAGGGAUGGUGGAAAGAAGACAAAACUUGGAUUUGCCUAUUUAGUCCGGUCACAUAUACUGUGAAAGUGGGAAAGUGUCUGUUCAAAGAUGUUAAUACAUUAUUGGAUAUGGUUUGGACAAAUAUUUAUCUUUUAUAUGGAGAUAAAUUGACAGGGAUGGUGGACUCCUUGUCUGACUAUAUAAUGCAAUUACUUCUGCCUUGUCCCAGCAAUGGAAUUCACUAUGAGCUCCACAGAGACAGAAACACGAAUUCAAAGAUGCUAGCUGGCAGCUUCUGUAGAGCAAGGGGUGGAAUCAGAAUUAACCACCUCUGGCUCUGUGGCAUAAAAGUACACUGAAGGAUGUAGAAGCAUCUUGUGGAUAAACUUAGAAGCAUCUUGUGGAUAAACUUUAUUUGAAGCACAAAUUACGUUGCCACUAUGCACUUAUGUGGUGCAAGUUGGAGGUAGAAAUUUGGAUCUUCUCCCUCUCAUUGGUGCUUUUGUGUCCGGAAAAUAGCCAUUGUGUUCAACAAGGUCUUCGACGAGGCCGUCCUCCCUGACGCUCAGUGGAUCCAAUCAGCAUGUACGUGUCAUCAACUAUAAGAAAUCACAAUAAACGGCAAAUUAAUAAGGUUUGAAUUACCAUGUCUCUGCAUUGGUAUUAUCCCAUUACUUACUAAAAAUAAUAAGGAGAGUAACUGAUAAUUAUGUAAAAAUUUGAUUAUUAUACCUAUCAUGACUUUGGAAUGGAUAUAAAUCAUGAAUCUCCUCUGCAUUUGAGCGUUCCAGUACUGUGUUGCAUGAUGAGGAGAUGAUGGAGGAAUGAACUCUCCUUGUCUCUUUUCUUCCCGGUUAGCAAGGCAGAAAAAGUUUAAGUAAUCUUUUGGAUGGCCUGAUUCGCCACUGUCUUGUAAAGCUUCACCUACUAGCUUAAACAUCAUCUUCAUUGUUUCCCUGGUCCAGUGUAGUAUGUCUUGUACAGUUUCACUCUCUGGAACUCCUUCUGGCCACAUUGGUAUGAGAAUGUAAACUGCGAACCUUUCCUUUGUUUUAAUCUUGCUAGCUAUCUUGAGGGCUAUCUCGACUGGUAUUAAGUUUGUGCAGCCACAUUGCUUAUCUUUCUCCCACAAGUGGCAUCCUCCAAUAAAGUAUUGGUUUUCGAUGUAUAUAAAUUUCUCAGCGCGCCUGAUUGCUUCUACAUAAGCUUCAUGGAUGCUUCUCUCAACUCGAAAGUUUAUAUUUGCCGAGAUGUGAUCAAUUGAUCGAAAGACUUGGACUUUCCAGUUCUUUUCAGCUGUGGUAGUUAUUGAAUUUGGUUGUUGAGAAAGUUCUUUUAUAGAGUUUAGGGGGACUAGCAAAGAAGGGUCACAUUGCUUUGUCCACCUUUGCUCAAAAUUUGUCAUCACAUCCCUUGCAGCCUCCCCGGAAAUACAGGCAUGAACAUCAUGCCAUGGCUCCCUUGGUCCACCUUUAUGAAGGCUAGCGCCGGAAAGGUUUAUUUGGUAGAAGUCUUGGGAAUGAAAUUCAGUAUUGAGUGUUCGAAAUAAGGAGUGUUCCUCUGUAUCAUAUCGGCCGUCACAAAGAUCUAAGCCUCCAAUAAAACUUAUGAUUUCUCGAUUACUUGAAAACAGCUGUCCUCUACUGUCGACAGUUAUGGUUUUCUGAUGGUGGGCAAACAUAGUGGGGAAUUUGUUGUGCAACCUGGGGCAUAAUUUGCAUAUAACCUUGGUGUGUUUAAAGUAGGCAUAUGCAUCUUCAUCAUGUGUUCUCAUCACUCCUGAGUUCUUGAUUAUAGGUAAUGAUGUUUCAUCAUCCCAAAGCAUGAUUCUCACAGCAACACCUUCUUCUGCUUUCCUUUUCAACAGUUCACCAAGUCUUACUCCUCGUGCAUGUGGAAUUUCUGUGUGAGAAUCGCGAACCUACACAUUUUACCCUUAUUUCUCAGACUUGAGAUGUGAAAAGAACUGAAGGGAAAUAGAUUGUUUUCACUUACCAGUACCAACUUGGGAUUGAAAGACCAUCCUGCUAUGUAGACCAAAUAUUUUGCAUCAUCGAUGGCUUUAUAAACAUCUUCCCACAAUUUUCUUGGCGUGCCACAAAGAUGGGCCGGGGGUUGAAAUGUAGAGUGAUGAUGAGCAUCUUGAUAUAGUGUGAUGCUGCAGUUGGAUCUCUGCGGAAACGUGGCAUUCUUCUGUCCGUUGAACCCGCCAUUAUCAAAGCGGGAAAAAACCAUUGAUUAAACUCUCUUUAGUUAAAAUCUGGUGUGCAGGGAUGCAGAUUUUUCCUAAGGUGGAGCAUUUGGUCUUUAAGGAGAUUGUAAUUGUCGCGUCAGGCAGAUGGGCACAAAGAAUAUAUAAGAUGAGCCUGGAACAAAUUAAAACAUGCACGAGCCUGUGCAUGAUUUGGUAGAUCAAGCCAGUGGUGUCUAUCUGCGACUAUAUCACUAAGGUUUGCUCCCAAGUGCAAGUGUCAGCCACGGUUUAAGGUUUCACUUGUGAUUCAUAUUUGUAUUUUAGUCAUUAAAAUUGCUGGAGAUCCUAAAAUAAAUCCCGAAUCCUUGCGACAAAUUUAAAUUGGUUCGGCCUCGAUUGUCUGUACUCGUACUUGGCCGAAAGAAUCCAAGUGUUCAAGAAUAUUUUUUCCUAUUAUAAAUAUAAAAGAGUACAGGGAACUCAAACUAACAAUAGAACAUCCGUGAAAUUGUAAUGCUAUAUAGCAACCAUCACUAUGUUUUGUUGAUA